rnacentral:lncRNA from 1 species
GGUGACUAACUCCAGUUCUUUGGAGGAGAUGACAGGGAAGGAAGUGACCCUGUUCUUUUUCUCCUCUUUUGAACAGGGGCUUCUCUGUAGUAGCACUCUGGAUUCCGAACUCCUGGGUUCUCUCUUUCUUUUGACCAACUUGGUCUGCGACUUUAGAAAAGCUAUGCCACGUUCUCUGUGCUUCAGUUCUACCUCUUGCUCAAAGAAAGUUGUAAUCAUAACACAUGGGAUUUGAAACUGUGGUCAAGAAUUUUCAGACUAGCUCUCCAAUAAGAGAAACUUCAAAUAUCAAACCCCAGGGCAGCUCGUUUUCAUCAGGGUCUUUUAAAUGACUGACUGAUUCUUGGACCAGUCCACUGAUACAUUCAUUCAACAAAUAUUUAUCGGGCCCCUCCUGUGUGCUAGAUAUCGUUCUAAAUGCUUAGAACACAGCUGUAAUUAAAUUAAUGCCCCUAU